GAUGAACGCUGGCGGUGUGCCUAAUACAUGCAAGUCGAACGAGGUGCUUUUGUAGCAAUACGGAAGUAUCCUAGUGGCGAACGGGUGAGUAACGCGUUGGUGACCUACCCCAAAGUGAGGGAUAACAGUCCGAAAGGAUUGCUAAUACCACAUGUGGUCCUCAGGUUUAGAAACUGAUGACUAAAGGAGCAAUUCGCUUUGGGAGGGACCUGCGUCCCAUCAGCUAGUUGGUGAGGUAACGGCUCACCAAGGCGACGACGGGUAGGGGACCUGAGAGGGUGGCCCCCCACAAUGGAACUGAAACACGGUCCAUACACCUACGGGAGGCUG
rnacentral:rRNA from 1 species